CCGUCGAUAGCUCAGUUGGUAGAGCGGUGGACUGUAGAGGAAACGAUUGCUGUCAUCCAUAGGUCGCUGGUUCGAAUCCGGCUCGACGGA
rfam:Ixodes scapularis strain Wikel colony gcontig_1107729189076, whole genome shotgun sequence.